rnacentral:rRNA from 1 species
GAUGAACGCUGGCGGCGUGCCUAAUACAUGCAAGUCGAGCGAACAGACGAGGAGCUUGCUCCUCUGACGUUAGCGGCGGACGGGUGAGUAACACGUGGAUAACCUACCUAUAAGACUGGGAUAACUUCGGGAAACCGGAGCUAAUACCGGAUAAUAUAUUGAACCGCAUGGUUCAAUAGUGAAAGACGGUUUUGCUGUCACUUAUAGAUGGAUCCGCGCCGCAUUAGCUAGUUGGUAAGGUAACGGCUUACCAAGGCAACGAUGCGUAGCCGACCUGAGAGGGUGAUCGGCCACCUUGGAACUGGGACACGGUCCAGACUCCUACGGGAGGCAGCAGUAGGGAAUCUUCCGCAAUGGGCGAAAGCCUGACGGAGCAACGCCGCGUGAGUGAUGAAGGUCUUCGGAUCGUAAAACUCUGUUAUUAGGGAAGAACAAAUGUGUAAGUAACUAUGCACGUCUUGACGGUACCUAAUCAGGAAGCCACGGCUAACUACGUG